GUGAAUUGAACUAUGCUUGGUAGUCGGACCUCUUCGGCAAGGUCCCUUAGCAUUAGAAUCACUAUCCAUAACACCUGUGAACUGUAAGACUGUAUGAAAUGAAGGUCUUUGGCCAAGUCAGCGUCUGCCCAUUUUAUAACAAACAUUAAAUGUAACAAACGUAGUCUUACUAUAAUCCUAAUA
rnacentral:misc_RNA from 1 species